GACGAACGCUGGCGGCGCGCUUAACACAUGCAAGUCGAACGGAAAGGCCUGCUUUCCCUUGUGGAUUGCGGGUACUCGAGUGGCGAACGGGUGAGUAACACGUGAGUGAUCUGCCCCCAACUUGGGUAUAAGCCUGGGAAACUGGGUCUAAUUCCCGAUAGGACUGCAGGGUGGUGCCUGUGGUGGAAAACGAUUUUCUAGUGGUUGGUGAUGAGCUCGCGGCCUAUCAGCUUGUUGGUGGGGUAAUGGCCUACCAAGGCGGCGACGGGUAGCCGGCCUGAGAGGGUGGACGGCCACAUUGGGACUGAGAUACGGCCCAGACUCCUACGGGAGGCAGCAGUGGGGAAUAUUGCACAAUGGGCGGAAGCCUGAUGCAGCGACGCCGCGUGGGGGAUGACGGCCUUCGGGUUGUAAACCCCUUUCGACCGCGAGGAAGCCACCUGGUUGGAAGGGUGGUGACGGUAGUGGUAGAAGAAGCACCGGCUAACUACGUG
rnacentral:rRNA from 1 species